rnacentral:lncRNA from 1 species
CAGAGUUGAUCUCAUAGGUAUCUAGACUUCAUCAGUCCCACAGACAAACUCAUGAACCCUAUCCUCAUCAUGUUCUUGCUCAAAUGCCAGAUUGAGCACACAUGUGCAGGAUCCACACUUGCAUCUCUUUAAGGUCAGUCAAAGUCGUCCACAGCUUGUUCAAGAAGUACCCGAAGUGAGCUUCAAUAGACUGUCAUCUUUGUUGAGCAGUAGCAAUCUCUGUUUUGGUACCCUAGAUUUUUGAUCCAUUCUUCACAGAUAAUCGCUUUUGGAUAUGCUCCCAUAGGCUUCGAGCAACGUCAUGGUGUAAAAGAUUCAUACGAACAUUUGCAUCAAUCGUCAACUUCAUCCACGAACCACCAGGCGUCGUUGGUCCACCAAUCUUCCAAAUCUGGCCAUCUACGAAACCAAACUUCUUUCUAGCCAUAAGAGCCAGUCAGAGAUUCAUUUCCCACUCGUCAUUGUUCGAAACUCUGAGCAAAGACUGGGAUAUGACACUUCCCAGAUUGUCUUUAAACUCAGAUCACAAGGAGAUAUGGUUCUCCUUUGAACCCCACUUGUCUCCUUCGUCAUCCCUGCUGGAAUGAUUCCUCCAUCUUCAUUAGUUACUUCCGCCAUUUAUGAGUUAAAUAAAAAAUUAACGUAGAUAAAAGAAGAGCGAUGAUUGAACGUCAAACCAAAGAAUACAACGAACAAAAGGAAUGAUGAUCGGCACCGUCAAGAAGAG